rnacentral:RNase_P_RNA from 1 species
GUCACAGAUUGUCGUUCGGUUCGCCGGAUUUUCCGAAUCACCCAACAACCAAAUCACCCAACUACCCAACCCGGUAAGGGUGAAAUGGUGCGGUAAGAGCGCACCGGGGGCGUGGUGACAUGUCUGCCCGGCAAACCCCAUCGGUAGCAAGGUCAAAGGGGGAAGAUGAGGUUGCCCGCCGAUUCUCCCGGUAGACCGCUCAAGGUUGGUGGCAACACACGCCGUAGAGAGAUGACCACGCAAGAACAGAACCCGGCUUACAGACCCGCUUUUUUU